rnacentral:rRNA from 1 species
AUUAAUAAUUAAUAUAUUUAAUAAAAAUAAUUUUAAUUUAAUAAGUAUUUUAAUGGGGGUUAAAGUAUUUUUUAAAGAAAAAAUUUUUAAAUUUAUAGUUAAUUAGUAUUGUGAAAGAAUUUUGAAAUAUUAUGAAAAAUAAAAUUUUUAGAAAGUAAUUUUUAUUUAUUGUAUCUUGUGUAUCAGAGUUUAUUAAAAAUUUUUAAUUUAUGAAUUAAUUUCUCGAAUUUAAAAGAGUUAAAUAAUUAUUAAAGUUAUUGUAGCAAAAUUAUUUUAAAUAAUUAUUUAGAAAUGAAAUGUUAAUCGUUUUUAAAUAUAUCUAGUUUUUAUAGAAAAAAAUUUAAUUUUAAAUUUAAGAAUUAUUUAAUUAAUUUAUUAAUUAAAUAAUUACUUAAAUUUUAUAAUUUAAGGGAUAAGCUUUAAAUUAAAUUUUUAUAAUAUUAAAUUUUUAUUUUGAAAAUUUUAUAAUUUAUAUUGUUAAUAAAUUUUAUUUUGUUAUAAAUAAUUUCAUUUUUUUUAAAAUUUAAAUUUUAUUUAAUUUUUUAUAUAAAAUUUAUUUAUAACUAUAUAAAGUUAAUUAUAAUGAUAAAAUUAGUAUAUUAUUUAAUAUUAAAUUAAAAUUAAUUUUUGGUUAAUAAUUAAAUUAAUUAAAAGGAAUUCGGCAAAUAUUUAUUUUCACUUGUUUAUCAAAAACAUGUCUUUUUGUUAUUUAAUUUAAAGUCUAAUCUGCCCACUGAUUUAUAAAAAUUGAAGGGCUGCAGUAUAUUGACUGUACAAAGGUAGCAUAAUCAUUAGUCUCUUAAUUGGUGACUUGUAUGAAAGAUUGGAUGAAAAAUAUACUGUCUCUUAAUUAAUAUAUAGAAUUUAAUUUUUUAUUUAAAAAGUUAAAAUAACUUAAAAAGACGAGAAGACCCUAUAGAGUUUAAUAAAUUAUUUUAUGAAAGUUUUAUUUAUACUUAUUAAUAAUUUUAUAAAUUUAUUUAUUUAGUUGGGGUGAUAAAAAAAUAAAUUUAACUUUUUUUAAGUAAUUUACAUGAAUAAGUGAUUAAU